UAGAUCGGGAUAACUUCGGGAAACCGGAGCUAAUACCGGAUAACUUCAGACACCUCCUGGUGUGUGAAUAAAAGAUGGCGUCACGCUAUCACUUACAGAUGGGCCCGCGGCGCAUUAGCUAGUUGGUGAGGUAACGGCUCACCAAGGCGACGAUGCGUAGCCGACCUGAGAGGGUGAUCGGCCACACUGGGACUGAGACACGGCCCAGACUCCUACGGGAGGCAGCAGUAGGGAAUCUUCCGCAAUGGACGAAAGUCUGACGGAGCAACGCCGCGUGAGCGAUGAAGGCCUUCGGGUCGUAAAGCUCUGUUGUUAGGGAAGAACAAGUACCGUUCGAAUAGGGCGGUACCUUGACGGUACCUAACCAGAA
rnacentral:rRNA from 1 species